rnacentral:misc_RNA from 1 species
UGAUCUAAAGUUACUGGAUUUUUCCCCUUCAAUGUUAGUUUCACAGUCUUCAGGUGAGUAUUCAUGCUAAUAUCCACGCCUGUAAUGGUGCCGUGAACAACAGUUCCAUUCUUGAGCUCAAUUGACACGGUCUCGUUGUUCAACUUCAUCAAAAACCUGACAAGCUUCAUUGUGGGAGAGGAAGGCAAAAUCUAGGGUUUGAAGAAGCACAAUGAAGGCUGACCAAAGAAAGCAGGAGAGGACGGAACCUUUGAAGUGAAGUC